GUGUAUCUAGUAGCCAUGCUAUAUAUAGUGUAUCUAGUAGCCAUGCUAUAUAUAGUGUAUCUAGUAGCCAUGCUAUAUAUAGUGUAUCCAGUAGCCAUGUAAUAUAUAGUGUAUACAGUAGCCAUGCUAUAUAUAGUGUAGAGGCCAUGCUAUAUAUAGUGUAUCUAGUAGCCAUGCUAUAUAUAGUGUAGAGGCCAUGCUAUAUAUAGUGUAUCUAGUAGCCAUGCUAUAUAUAGUGUAGAGGCCAUGCUAUAUAUAGUGUAUCUAGUAGCCAUGCUAUAUAUAGUGUAUCUAGUAGCCAUGCUAUAUAUAGUGUAUCUAGUAGUCAUGCUCUAUAUAGUGUAUCUAGUAGCCAUGCUAUAUAUAGUGUAGAGGCCAUGCUAUAUAUAGUGUAUCUAGUAGCCAUGCUAUAUAUAGUGUAUCUAGAAGCCAUGCUAUAUAUAGUGUAUCUAGUAGCCAUGCCAUAUAUAGUGUAGAGGCCAUGCUAUAUAUAGUGUAUCUAGCAGCCAUGCUAUAUAUAGUGUAGAGGCCAUGCUAUAUAUAGUGCAGAGGCCAUGCUAUAUAUAGUGUAUCCAGCAGCCACGCCAUAUAGUGCAUCCAGCAGCCAUGCCAUAUAUAGUGUAUCCAGUAGCCAUGCUAUAUAUAGUGCAGAGGCCAUGCCAUAUAUAGUGUAUCCAGUAGCCAUGCCAUAUAUAGUGUAUCGAGGCCACGCUAUAUAUAGUGUAUCCAGUAGCCAUGCCAUAUAUAGUGUAGAGCAGCCAUGCUAUAUAUAGUGCAUCCAGUAGCCACGCCAUAUAUAGUGUAUCCAGCAGCCAUGCCAUAUAUAGUGUAUCUAGUAGCCAUGCCAUAUAUAGUGUAUCUAGUAGCCAUGCUAUAUAUAGUGUAUCCAGCAGCCAUGCCAUAUAUAGUGCAGAGGCCAUGCUAUAUAUAGUGUAUCCAGUAGCCAUGCCAUAUAUAGUGUAUCUAGCAGCCAUGCUAUAUAUAGUGUAUCCAGUAGCCACGCUAUAUAUAGUGUAGAGCCAUGCUAUAUAUAGUGUAUCUAGUAGCCAUGCUAUAUAUAGUGUAGAGGCCAUGCUAUAUAUAGUGUAUCUAGUAGCCAUGCUAUAUAUAGUGUAGAGGCCACGCCAUAUAUAGUGUAUCUAGUAGCCAUGCUAUAUAUAGUGUAUCUAGUAGCCAUGCCAUAUAUAGUGUAUCCAGUAGCCAUGCUAUAUAUAGUGUAUCCAGUAGCCAUGCUAUAUAUAGUGUUGAGA
rnacentral:lncRNA from 1 species